CUUAAGCUAACAAUGAUAACACAACACUAUCUAAAAUUAGAGUUACAAUGAAAUUCCUAGAUAAAGCGUUAUCCGAAAAGCGCAAAAACACGAAAAUGGUAAAAACCAUGCCAUUCCAGUCGAUUGAUAAGAGAAUUUCAAAGACACUUCAACCAACCAACGUUCUUAGGCGGUAAAUAUUGUCUUAUUUUCAAAGUGUCUGGACAAACAGAGGCAACGGUCUCUGCAUGAAAUGAAUCACACUUUACAUGUUGUACUGUGGAUUCGUCAGUGAUAAAACAUAUCAACAAAACGACUGAAUGAACGCCAUAAAACGUGUAUUCCCAAAUACGAAUGUGUUUGAUGCAACUUUAAAAACCGUGCAUCGGUACUUUGUUCUACAGUAGUGCGUAAGAAAAACAAGGCAAAUAUCAUAAACAGGAGGAUUACCAAGGUACCAAGGUACUUUUUGCGUCGAUUCACUCCACGAUCGAUGCACGCAUUUUUCAUGAAAACGUUGGAACAUCUUGCCUACCAUCCAGACUUGUCACCUCAUGAUUUUCAUCUUUAUGUACACCUGAAACAAGUGCUUGGAUGUGGGCAUUUUGACGAAGAUCAAGCUGGUGCAGCAGUUGGUGCUCCUGUGGCUGCGUGAACUUUUAAUUUUCUUUCACUUAUAAACAACUCCAGAGAUUAAUCAAAGCGUUUAUGUUUAAAAGGCUGAGCUUAGGACAACCACAAAAAAGUUAUCUAUCCAUUAUCGAAGACAGGUCAUAACAUCGAAAUUCGCACUAAAAAUAUCCGUUAUUGACAAUUUACCGGUUUUCAAAUUUUUCAGUCAAAUUCUUUAACGCCUUUGAACUAUGAAGAAUGUUGGAUUAAGCAUUAAAAUUUUAUUUAUUUUUUAGCAAUCGUCGUGGAGAUAAUCUGGUUUCCCAAAUUUCGAUACACCUACAUUGGCAGAUUUCAGUUGCCAUCCCGAAAAAAUUAGAUUACUACUCGCAGUUAUGUUUAUUUCUUCAAAUAUUUGCUUUUCGUUAUGUUUUAAGCAAAGAGUCUACCGAUAGUCGAAAAUCGUGAAGAUCUAAAGGCCCGAACUAAUUAUAACAAAAUAAAUGGCUUCCGAUUGCAUAUAAAACCGACAGUUUUGCAUAGAAAGGCCGAGGGAUGAACCGUGAAAGACAAAAAACUGCAAGUUGGCUUCUUCGUCAUUCACAAUCGAUUUUUGCUUUCCGAUGUUUUCUCCUUCAAAUAACCCAUUCGUUCCAAGUCUUAACGAACAGGCAAAUUGAUACGGAUUGACUGAUAAUGAUAGAAAAUGCAGAAAGGUAAUUUCGAAAUUCUCAAUAUAAUAACAUUAGUAAUAUUCUAAAUGUAGUAAUAUAAUCGAAACUAAAAUAACUGAACUGAAUCCAAACUGCCAAGAAAGAUCAGAGCAAUUAAUCAUCGAAAAAGCGAACAUGCAAAUGAAUAAAUAAUAAUGUUUAUGCUGUA